UAUAGUCGGCUCACCAGCCAUGCCACUAUUGCCAUCUACUUCCCCAUCGCCUCUCGCCGUUAUGCAACCUAAUCACGAACCAGAUCUGGAGAUUUCUAGAUCUAGAAAAAUAUAGAAGAAGGAGAAGAUCGGAUGGAGCUUGAAGCGAAAAGGCAUUUGAUCUUCCAGAAAGAGUCUUUACCAGCUUGCAUUUUGCGUUUUGAGGUGAUGAGCAGGAAGGCGGCGACGCCUAGAUGAUUAUUUGCAACUUGUUUUGGA